rnacentral:rRNA from 1 species
CCUACGGGAGGCAGCAGUGAGGAAUAUUGGUCAAUGGACGCAAGUCUGAACCAGCCAUGCCGCGUGCAGGAUGACGGCUCUAUGAGUUGUAAACUGCUUUUGUACGAGGGUAAACCCCGACACGUGUAUCGUGUUGAAAGUAUCGUACGAAUAAGGAUCGGCUAACUCCGUGCCAGCAGCCGCGGUAAUACGGAGGAUCCGAGCGUUAUCCGGAUUUAUUGGGUUUAAAGGGUGCGUAGGCGGUUUGAUAAGUUAGAGGUGAAAUGUCGGGGCUCAACCCCGAAACUGCCUCUAAUACUGUUGGACUAGAGAAUAGUUGCGGUAGGCGGAAUGUAUGGUGUAGCGGUGAAAUGCUUAGAGAUCAUACAGAACACCGAUUGCGAAGGCAGCUUACCAAACUAUAUCUGACGUUGAGGCACGAAAGCGUGGGUAGCAAACAGGAUUAGAUACCCCAGUAGUC